rnacentral:rRNA from 1 species
AUUGAACGCUGGCGGCAGGCCUAAUACAUGCAAGUCGAGCGGAUGAAGGGAGCUUGCUCCUGGAUUCAGCGGCGGACGGAUGAGUAAUGACUAGGAAUAUGACUGGUAGAGGGGGAUGACGUCAGGAAAGGGGAGCUAAUCCCGCAUACGUCAAGAGGGUGAAAGUGGUGGUUCUACGGACCUAACGCUAUCAGAUGAGACUAGGUCGGAUUAGCUAGUUGGUGUGGUAACGGCCUACCAAGGCGACGAUCCGUAACUGGUCUGAGAGGAUGAUCAGUCACACUGGAACUGAGACACGGUCCAGACUCCUACGGGAGGCAGCAGUAGGGAAUAUUGCACAAUGGGCGAAAGCCUGAUCCAGCCACGCCGCGUGAGUGAAGAAGGUCUUCGGAUUGUAAAGCACUUUAAUUUGGUAGGAAGAGCAGUAAGAUAAUACCUUGCUGUUUUGACGUUACCAACAGAAAAAGCACCGGCUAACUUCGUG